UACGGGGGGGGCAAGCGUUGUUCGGAAUUACUGGGCGUAAAGGGCGUGUAGGCGGCCAACUAAGUCCGACGUGAAAUCCCCAGGCUCAACCUGGGAACUGCGUCGGAUACUGGAUGGCUUGAAUCCGGGAGAGGGAUGCAGAAUUCCAGGUGUAGCGGUGAAAUGCGUAGAUAUCAGGAAGAACACCCGUGGCGAAAGCGGCUCUCUGGAACGGUACUGACGCUGAGACGCGAAAGCGUGGGGAGCGAACAGG
rnacentral:rRNA from 1 species